AUUGAACGCUGGCGGCAUGCUUUACACAUGCAAGUCGAACGGCAGCACGGGGGGCAACCCUGGUGGCGAGUGGCGAACGGGUGAGUAACACAUCGGAACGUGCCCAGUUGUGGGGGAUAACCUAUCGAAAGGUAGGCUAAUACCGCAUGAGCUCGGCAAGAGGAAAGCGGGGGGACUCAGCGAUGGGCCUCGCGCGACUGGAGCGGCCGAUGUCCGAUUAGCAGUUGGUGGGGUAAAGGCUUACCAAGCGACGAUCGGUAGCUGGUCUGAGAGGAUGAUCAGCCACACU
rnacentral:rRNA from 1 species